rnacentral:rRNA from 1 species
UACAGAGGUCUCAAGCGUUGUUCGGAUUCAUUGGGCGUAAAGGGUGCGUAGGCGGCGCGGUAAGUCGGAUGUGAAAUCUCGGGGCUUAACUCCGAAACUGCAUUCGAUACUGCCGUGCUUGAGGACUGGAGAGGAGACUGGGAAUUUUACGGUGUAGCGGUGAAAUGCGUAGAUAUCGUAAGGAAGACCGUGGCGAAGGCGGGUCUCGUGGUACGUGACUGACGCUGAGACGCGAAAAGCGUGGGGGAGCAAACAGG